rnacentral:rRNA from 1 species
AACGAACGCUGGCGGCAUGCCUAACACAUGCAAGUCGAACGAUCCCUUCGGGGAUAGUGGCGCACGGGUGCGUAACGCGUGGGAACCUGCCCUUAGGUUCGGAAUAACUCAGAGAAAUUUGAGCUAAUACCGGAUAAUGUCUUCGGACCAAAGAUUUAUCGCCUUUGGAUGGGCCCGCGUUGGAUUAGCUAGUUGGUGGGGUAAAGGCCUACCAAGGCGACGAUCCAUAGCUGGUCUGAGAGGAUGAUCAGCCACACUGGGACUGAGACACGGCCCAGACUCCUACGGGAGGCAGCAGUGGGGAAUAUUGGACAAUGGGCGAAAGCCUGAUCCAGCAAUGCCGCGUGAGUGAUGAAGGCCUUAGGGUUGUAAAGCUCUUUUACCCGGGAUGAUAAUGACAGUACCGGGAGAAUAAGCCCUGGCUAACUCCGUG